UCCCCGAUAGUCUAGUGGUGAGGAUAUCUGCUUGUCAUUGCUUGUCAACGAUUCGCAGGGGACCGGGGUUCAAUUCCCCGUCGAGGAG
rnacentral:tRNA from 1 species